GCAGCUGGUCCCUCUCACUUCCUGGUUUAACUCUGCUCGUCUCUGUUUGUAGCAACAAGAACAUCUGGGUUCUGCUCCUGGAAAGGAUGAAGCCGACUCUAAGACGGCGUCACCCUGGAAGACCGUACGGUUGGGCGUUCAGACGACGGCUAACUUUAAUUCCAUCAAGGUAAGAGGAAGCUCUUCCCUUCAUGUCUGAGCGAUCCGUCUCCAGGUUUCCUCGUCCGGCGUCCAGCCCGCUGGCAUCCACCUUCAUCUCAUCUCACUUCAUUUAUAGUGCAAUACUUUCACAUUAUCAUUUCCCCACACUUCUGUAUACCUGUAUUUUGUUGUUCUUCAAUAAAGAAUGACAAAUUAUUUAAGUUUGGUUUUUGUUGCACACAAAUAUCUGUAAAAAAUAUCUACAAAGCUAAUGUUUACAUAACAAGUAUGAUCGGGUUUUGCAAUACGGCACUCAAGUUUAUUUUAGUAAGAUUUUCAAACCAAGUAAAGUUAGUAAAGAACACAUUUCUAUUGUCUGCUAAGAAACUGUUGGGAUUUAAAAUGGGCCGUUGUACAAAUAACUUGUAAAUGAUUAUUCCUCACUUUUGUCUUAACCAAAGAAAUUCCAGUAAUUGAGCAAAAACAUUUAUUUUUAACACUACAUUUUAUAAAACAGGGCGCAAAGUGUCGGCACAUGUAUGUAUGUCGAUGGUCCGCCCCAACCAAACCAGGAGACACGGACGUCAGGGAGGCCAAGGUUGUGUCCGACGGUCUCUGCAGCUCUCUGGGCACCACGCCUCACGUAGCUGUCUCCAAUGAUCCAAAUGGCUAUGGAGAAAAAAUAACAGGUUUGUCAUAAUUUUUUUAAGUACAAAACCAUACAUGAAGUGGUCAAGACAGGAACUUACACUUGCUGCGUUGUGUAGCUGACGUUGGAGACACACAGGCUGCCAUGGUGACCUUUUAACAGAUCUAAGAAAAAAAUGUAAUAAAAGAAUGAAACUUAAAAACUCCAAGACCUCAUGUCAUAUUUACUAAUCAGCUAUGGCUGAUUUAUUGUUUGGAUCACAGUGAGUUACACUAAUUCUAAUAUAUUUUUAUUUCUAUUACACAUACAUACUUUUUAACUGUUAUUUUCACAUGACUGUUAUCAGGCUCUCUUGUUCUGGUUCUGAUGAUAAUUCCGUGUCUUCCAGUAAGUUAUCUUGUGCUUACUUCAUCUGUAUAAUGUCUCUUUACUUUUGGUAAAUUGUACUGAGUCCAGAAUAAAGGCUAGUUGGCUGUACAAGAUACAAACAAGUAUUACGUUUUGGAAAUAUAUGAAACACCGCCAGCAUCUGUUAGAGCCUGUGGCGGGGUGCUGAGGGCCGGCUCCAGCCCAGGAAUGAGCUCUCCACGCCGGCCGGGAGGGUUUGAAACACCGCCAUCCUCUCCUCUGCUGGCUGUUGUUCAUUCUGUUAUGGUUACCGGUGCUUGUGUUGCAAUGUGAAACGCUUGGUCUCAGAUUUUGUAAGAAAGAUAAUAAAAUGUCCCCCCAAAAUA